rnacentral:rRNA from 1 species
UGUAAAAUUUCAAAGGUCGAACAGACCUAAUGUUUUAGCUUCUACACCAAAAAUUUAUUUUAAUCCAACAUCGAGGUCGCAAUCUUUUUUUUUAAUAUGAACUUUCUAAAAAAAUUACGCUGUUAUCCCUAAGGUAAUUUUAUCUUAUAAUCAAAAAUUUUGGAUCAUCUACUCAUAAAUUUAUGAUUUCAAAUAAAAAAAGUUAUUUAAAUUUUUCAAUCACCCCAACAAAAUUAUUUUAUAAAAAUAUAAAUUUAAUUCUUAAAUCACAAUUUUAUAAAAUAAUUAAACUCUAUAGGGUCUUCUCGUCUUUUAAUUAUAAUUAAGCUUUUUAACUUAAAAAUAAACUUCUAUAAAAAUUUAAUAGAGACAGCUAUUUUCUUAUUCAACCCUUCAUUCCAGUUUUCAAUUAAAAAACUAAUGAUUAUGCUACCUUAGCACGGUCAAUAUACCACGGCCAUUUAAAAUCUCAGUGGGCAGGUCAGACCUUAAAUUAUAAACAAAAGGAC